UCUAAUACAACUCCUUGCAAAGUUUGGUGCAAUUUGGAGGUGUCUAGGACCCUCAAAACUGCUAUCAAAGUGCAAUUCCAGAAGGUCUCAACCUGUUCUAUCUCUCCUCUCUCUAUGACCGGUGGGUCCCAGCUGUCAUGCUUCGUCUUCCACGUAGAGGCAGCUUGUUGGUGGCAAUGGCAGGGCUUCUCUUCGCCGUAGAUCUUCAUCCUUGCAUCGUGGCCGUAGCCCAUGCCUAUUUAAGCUCCCCCUGGAACCCUAGCUCCCAUUUCAUCCCCUUUUUCCCCGAGCUCCCGACCCAAGCCGCCGCCAUGGAGGACCUCGCUGUCGUCAAGCUCUUCUAGUGAAACGAGCGAAUCGAGCUCAUCUUCGUCGAGGCCGGCCAAGCUUUCUUCCGCUCGAUUUGUUGUCUCCGCUCCAUCACCCGGAAGCGUCGUCUCCGUCGACUGUGCCGCUGCCGCCCGACGUCGCCGUGGUCCUGCUUUGUUGAGCCUGCCGAGCUGCAGUGACCGCGUCAACACGAAGCUGGUGAGCUCCUCGCCUUUUCCAGUCCAAAUCCCGUGUGUUUUCGUGUACUGUAGAGGUAGACCGGCCCUGCUCCGGCGAGCUCUGGCCACCGGCCAUGGCGUGCGUGGUGGCCUCUGGCCACAAUCUCCCCCCAGCUCGAUCUGCAGGUGACGAAGAGGGUGUGCUUAGUGAGAACGAUUCGGACUACGAGCGGGGUGAUCAAAUUGCUCGCUACUUGCUUAUGUUGGUCAUUGGCAUGAGUAAGGGUUGAUUGUGGUAAUCUUAUAUUUUGCUAGUCAAUUGGUAUUGAUUAUGCUCUUCAUCUUGUAUAUCCAUGUUUGUAUGAUAAGUGUCGAGUCAUGCUUUUGGAAUCUUGGUAGACUUGGUAACCUUGAGCAUGAUGUUGAGCUUAUAUUUUAAUUGUUUUUCAGCAUGCCAUGAGUAGAGAGCGAUGUCUCUAUGAUAAUUAAAACUGAAACUAAAAUUGGUAGACUUGAGUGGGUACCCGUCAUUUGGUCUUUAUCCCACUUAGGUCAAUUAAGGGCCGAAUUCUUGUGCCAUUGAUCCUAGCCACAAUCGUACUACCUCAUUGACUGUUAUGGGACAGUCUUGACCAACUAAUUCACCUAGCUCUAACAUGGUGGGUGCUAUUUUUCAUUUGGUAGUUUUCCUUGGUUGGAUUUGGUCUUCGGACAUGGUGUCCCCAUUAAAAAGGGCAUGGUGUCGCUUUUUGUGCUUCUCUCUUGCAAAUUGGAACAUACCCCACAAUUCGAUGGAUCAUAAACAAACUUGGACUUCGACCGCAACCUAUGGACCAGGAUAACGCUUUCUAGAAGCGCCCUGGAAUAAACCUAUGGGCAGCUAGUAUGUUAGAGUGAAGUGUUGUAAAGGUCUUGUAACAAAUUAUCAUCCCGCUUUCUACGGAAUGAUGAGAUGUUUCGGUGAGGGUAAAGUUGUACACCCCUUGCAGGGAUAAAAUCUAUUCGAAUAACCAUGUCCACGGUCAAGGACAUGCUUGGUUAUAUCACACUUGAGUUAGAGUCACUCAUACUUGGUGUUAGUCCUAUGUGCCAAUUGGAAUUGUCAUAACAUUCCAUUGUUUAAAUCUGAGGUUUAUACUUGAUGCUUAUGCAUACUUGCUUAUAUCCAUUGAGUUGGUAUAAUAUUGAUGCCAUGGUAACUAGUUCAUGCAUGCUUGUCCCAUUCCUUAUCAUGCUUAAGCUAGUUUAUCUUGUUUUAUGUCACUUGUGAGUGAAUGCCAUGCUUCCUAUGUUUAGGUAAUAGCAUGACAUGAUUAUGUAUCACUUUUGGGUUACAUUUGACAUGCUUUAGGCCGCUUUUAAGGUGUAUUACAAAUCUGGACAGAUUGGUAAAAAUCUGGAAUACUUGUCUCUUGCCAUGCUUAAUUGUGUAGUUGUGAUGCCUAUGGUUAUGCUUUUAUGUCCAGAUUGUUCCCCACCUUUGAUGCAAUGUUUUAGAUGAUCUUAAUACAUUGUAUGACCUGUUUAUGUGUUGUUUAAGUGGUUAAACUUGUUGAAAGACAUCAUGGUACAAAUCUGUCCUUUACAUGCUUACUUGAUGUUCAUUGCUAGCAAUUGUUUCGUAUGCUGCCCAAAAAUUUCAGAACUGUUUGGGAAUUGAACCUAGGUGAUUUUACAUGUUAUUAUGAUGUCCUUUAGAAUGGAAACCAUGAUGGUUUAGGUGCUGGUCCGUUUGGUUCAGAUCUGGACUUUUGCUUGUCUAAGAGACCUCACUUGCAAUCUUUUGCUACUCUUUAACCUUGACUGAUGAGCAUGUCAUGGAACAAAUUAAAAUGAACGAAAGUAAGACUUGCUGAGUACCCUGAGAACUCACCCUUGCUGUUGACACAUUUUUGCAGAGGAAACCCCACUGGAGAGCGAUAAUGAUCUCGACCGUGACCGGAACCGUGACGAGUAGUCAGCCCCUUGGGUUGAUUUUGUUGGUGCUACCCGGGCUGUAGCACGGAUCUAGCCCAGCUAGUUGAUACAAGAUAUAGGACUUUUUAGUCCAUGUAUUUGACUCCGGACUGCAUAGCCCAUCCAUCCAGGCCCGGCGUAGCACCCCCACUCUUCCAACCCAACAUCGUACAGGCCAUGCCACGGGCAGCCCAAGCACAUCACGACGCUCUGUCGAUCGAUCUGCCUGAUUGAUCAACUCCCGCGGCUACUCGUCUUCUCCCUGCCCGCCUGCCUUGUUCCCCAAUUUUCAGGCAACGAAGAAACCGAAGCCGCCGGCCGCCACCCUAGCCCUAAGAUCCUCAAAUCCCUAGCCACCUGUCCCAGCCACAGCAGCAAUCGCCACCCGGCGGGGGUCUGCACAGCACGCGACGAGGUGGAGGCAGAUCCCUUAUUGGCUGCAGGGACUGAUUAGCUGAUUCCAACCCAGUUCCCAAUUGCUUUUGGUUCGUGUUUGGAUUAGAAAGUUUGAGUGAUUUAUGAAUCAUGAUCCACGAUGCUUGCUGUUCGAGGUCUAACUAGAUUAUUUUUAACUUAAAUGGAGAUAUUCUAUCCAAGAUUACAAGGUUCAAGUAGUGCAGAGCAUAAACGAGCACGCAUCGAGCUUAAUAAACGAGCACGCAUUGAACGAUAAAUGUUUUCAGCCGUUGAAGAUGGGGUUAUUUUGAAGACAUUUCAAGGUUACAAGAAUCGCAAAGGCCAUUUAUCCAUAACCAUCGUCAGAACUUAGUGGUAUGUUUUGUAUUUCUACUUUUAAUCUUAUUAUGGCAUGUUGUCAUUCUCAUUUAAAAUGUCCUUAGAUUAACUUUUAUUGCUUUAGAGAACGAUUGAAGUGUUUGGGUCGUUGAUCGCGUACAUUUAGUACAGUGCAAUUUUUUAUUAUCGUUUAGAAUUUUUUUUGAGUGUAUCAUAAGUUAGCCCCCUCUUUUAUUUGUUCCUGGGUCCGCCACUGACCGAAGGUGUUCUUUGCAGCCAUCUUAUGGCACUACUUGAACCUUAUUCCGCUGUGUUUUAUUCGACUUUCGAUGUGGUUGUAUCACUUAUGAACUCAAGUUAAAAUCUGAACUAUGUGUUAUAUCUGUUGUAUGUGUGUGUUUGAGUUGUGAUGUAUCAAUCUUAGGAUAUGUGUGCAUGCUUGGCAUCUUGGGAAACAUGUGAAUCAUAUCCCGCCGUGUCGAUUAUGUGUUCUGCUAUAUCAUGUUGUAUUAUGUUCAUUGCUGGCUGAAUGUUGCUAUGAUCUGUCGUUAUGUCGAUAGAGAGCAAGUUCGGGUUUCGAAUGCAACAAUGAGCUUAAUCCUA